UACGUAGGGACCAAGCGUUGUUCGGAUUUACUGGGCGUAAAGGGCGCGUAGGCGGCAAUUCAAGUCAGUUGUGAAAUCUCCGAGCUUAACUCGGAACGGUCAACUGAUACUGUUGUGCUAGAGUACAGAAGGGCAAUCGGAAUUCUUGGUGUAGCGGUGAAAUGCGUAGAUAUCAAGAGGAACACCUGAGGUGAAGACGGGUUGCUGGCUGAUACUGACGCUGAGGCGCGAAAGCUAGGGUAGCAAACGGG
rnacentral:rRNA from 1 species